rnacentral:rRNA from 1 species
GAUGAACGCUGGCGGCGUGCCUAAUACAUGCAAGUCGAGCGAACGGACGAGAAGCUUGCUUCUCUGAUGUUAGCGGCGGACGGGUGAGUAACACGUGGAUAACCUACCUACAAGACUGGGAUAACUUCGGGAAACCGGAGCUAAUACCGGAUAAUAUUUUGAACCGCAUGGUUCAAAAGUGAAAGACGGUCUUGCUGUCACUUAUAGAUGGAUCCGCGCUGCAUUAGCUAGUUGGUAAGGUAACGGCUUACCAAGGCAACGAUGCAUAGCCGACCUGAGAGGGUGAUCGGCCACACUGGAACUGAGACACGGUCCAGACUCCUACGGGAGGCAGCAGUAGGGACUCUUCCGCAAUGGGCGAAAGCCUGACGGAGCAACGCCGCGUGAGUGAUGAAGGUCUUCGGAUCGUAAAACUCUGUUAUUAGGGAAGAACAUAUGUGUAAGUAACUGUGCACAUCUUGACGGUACCUAAUCAGAAAGCCACGGCUAACUACGUG